UCCUUAUCAAGAGUGACGGAGGGAUGGGCCUUUGAUGUCACAGCAACCUUCCUAUUGGAGUGGUGCUAAGUCCAGCAGAGUGUGUAAUCAUUCUGGAAGAUAAGGA
rnacentral:ncRNA from 2 species